GACGUGGGGUGCAAGCAUUAUCCGGAAUUAUUGGGCGUAAAGAGUUCUGUAGGCGUUCUGUUAAGUUCUCAUUCAAAUCUUCGGGCUCAACCCGGAUUCCGGUGAGAAAACUAACAGAAUUGAGAGUAGUAGGGACAUGGGGAACAAAUGGUGGAGCAGUGAAAUGCGUUGAUAUCAUUUGGAACACCAAAGGCGAAGGCACCAUGUUGGGCUAUUUCUGACGCUGAGAGACGAAAGCGUGGGGAGCAAAACGG
rnacentral:rRNA from 1 species